CUUCCCGUCAUCGGGGAGUAGCUGACCGGAUCCUGUCCGGUGCCUGGCGUCAACAUGCUUGUCCCUCACGGACAUGGCGCAGGCAGCCCCUCCGGGCCUGGCAAGACCGAUGACCAUGCAGCCUCCGGACGGGCCGGUGGUGCUGCAUGGUCAUCGCUGAUCCUGCACCA
rnacentral:sRNA from 2 species